AAAGCUGGAUACCCAGUGAUUCCCGAGGGAAAACUGGGCAGACAGUACAGUUGCACCUCACCACAGAGCCCUCGGCUGCUCCUUUGCAGAUGGGACUGAGAGGAAAGUGCCAGAAGGGACAGUGGGUGGUAAACUCCAUCGAGGGCUAAAUACCGGCACCAGACCGAUAGCCAACAAGUACCGUAAGGGAAAGUUGAAAAGAACUUUGAAGAGAGAGUUCGAGAAGGUGUGAAACUGUUAAGAGGCAAACAGGUGGGGCCCGCGCAGCCUGCCCGGAGGAUGCAACCCGGCGGGUUGCUGCCUUUCAGGAUGCCUCCACUUAAUUUUUGGAUCUGCCAGAGAAAUCAGUCAUGUCACAAUUCGUAUCUGUCCCCAUUCCCCCAGAAGCAAGUCUGAUCAUUUUUAGGACAGGUUGUCUCUUUGUGAGUGUGAACACCGAGUAGGAAGGGUUCCAGUUUUCAGCUGAGGUUUCAAGC
rnacentral:ncRNA from 1 species